rnacentral:rRNA from 2 species
UAGAGUGAUUUUUUUUUUCCGGUCAGGACGAACGCUGGCGGCGUGCCUAAUACAUGCAAGUCGAACGAACUCUGGUAUUGAUUGGUGCUUGCAUCAUGAUUUACAUUUGAGUGAGUGGCGAACUGGUGAGUAACACGUGGGAAACCUGCCCAGAAGCGGGGGAUAACACCUGGAAACAGAUGCUAAUACCGCAUAACAACUUGGACCGCAUGGUCCGAGUUUGAAAGAUGGCUUCGGCUAUCACUUUUGGAUGGUCCCGCGGCGUAUUAGCUAGAUGGUGGGGUAACGGCUCACCAUGGCAAUGAUACGUAGCCGACCUGAGAGGGUAAUCGGCCACAUUGGGACUGAGACACGGCCCAAACUCCUACGGGAGGCAGCAGUAGGGAAUCUUCCACAAUGGACGAAAGUCUGAUGGAGCAACGCCGCGUGAGUGAAGAAGGGUUUCGGCUCGUAAAACUCUGUUGUUAAAGAAGAACAUAUCUGAGAGUAACUGUUCAGGUAUUGACGGUAUUUAACCAGAAAGCCACGGCUAACUACGUGCCAGCAGCCGCGGUAAUACGUAGGUGGCAAGCGUUGUCCGGAUUUAUUGGGCGUAAAGCGAGCGCAGGCGGUUUUUUAAGUCUGAUGUGAAAGCCUUCGGCUCAACCGAAGAAGUGCAUCGGAAACUGGGAAACUUGAGUGCAGAAGAGGACAGUGGAACUCCAUGUGUAGCGGUGAAAUGCGUAGAUAUAUGGAAGAACACCAGUGGCGAAGGCGGCUGUCUGGUCUGUAACUGACGCUGAGGCUCGAAAGUAUGGGUAGCAAACAGGAUUAGAUACCCUGGUAGUCCAUACCGUAAACGAUGAAUGCUAAGUGUUGGAGGGUUUCCGCCCUUCAGUGCUGCAGCUAACGCAUUAAGCAUUCCGCCUGGGGAGUACGGCCGCAAGGCUGAAACUCAAAGGAAUUGACGGGGGCCCGCACAAGCGGUGGAGCAUGUGGUUUAAUUCGAAGCUACGCGAAGAACCUUACCAGGUCUUGACAUACUAUGCAAAUCUAAGAGAUUAGACGUUCCCUUCGGGGACAUGGAUACAGGUGGUGCAUGGUUGUCGUCAGCUCGUGUCGUGAGAUGUUGGGUUAAGUCCCGCAACGAGCGCAACCCUUAUUAUCAGUUGCCAGCAUUAAGUUGGGCACUCUGGUGAGACUGCCGGUGACAAACCGGAGGAAGGUGGGGAUGACGUCAAAUCAUCAUGCCCCUUAUGACCUGGGCUACACACGUGCUACAAUGGAUGGUACAACGAGUUGCGAACUCGCGAGAGUAAGCUAAUCUCUUAAAGCCAUUCUCAGUUCGGAUUGUAGGCUGCAACUCGCCUACAUGAAGUCGGAAUCGCUAGUAAUCGCGGAUCAGCAUGCCGCGGUGAAUACGUUCCCGGGCCUUGUACACACCGCCCGUCACACCAUGAGAGUUUGUAACACCCAAAGUCGGUGGGGUAACCUUUUAGGAACCAGCCGCCUAAGGUGACCCGAUG